GAUGAACGCUGGCGGCGUGCCUAAUACAUGCAAGUCGAGCGAACAGACGAGGAGCUUGCUCCUCUGACGUUAGCGGCGGACGGGUGAGUAACACGUGGAUAACCUACCUAUAAGACUGGGAUAACUUCGGGAAACCGGAGCUAAUACCGGAUAACAUGUUGAACCGCAUGGUUCAAUAGUGAAAGACGGUCUUGCUGUCACUUAUAGAUGGAUCCGCGCCGCAUUAGCUAGUUGGUAAGGUAACGGCUUACCAAGGCAACGAUGCGUAGCCGACCUGAGAGGGUGAUCGGCCACACUGGAACUGAGACACGGUCCAGACUCCUACGGGAGGCAGCAGUAGGGAAUCUUCCGCAAUGGGCGAAAGCCUGACGGAGCAACGCCGCGUGAGUGAUGAAGGUCUUCGGAUCGUAAAACUCUGUUAUUAGGGAAGAACAAAUGUGUAAGUAACUAUGCACGUCUUGACGGCACCUAAUCAGAAAGCCACGGCUAACUACGUG
rnacentral:rRNA from 1 species